GGGAUUGCCCCAGUAACGGCGAGUGAAGCGGCAACAGCUCAAAUUUGAAAUCUGGCCCCCCCCCCCCGGGGGGCCCGAUUUGUAUUUUGCAAAGGAUGCUUUGGGCGAGGCCCCUUCCGAGUUCCCGGGAACGGGACCCCCCAAAGGGGGAAAGCCCCGUCGGGUCGGACCCCAAGCCUCUGUAAAGCUCCUUCAACAAGUCAAGUAUUUGGGGAAGGCUGCUCAAAAGGGGAGGUAUAUGUCUUUUAAAGCUAAAUACCGGCCAAAAACCAAUAGCGCAAAAGUAAAGUGAUCAAAAAAUGAAAAGCCCCUUGAAAAGGGGGUUAAACAUUACUUGAAUUUGUUAAAAGGAAACCCCUCGUGACCAGACUUGGGGCGGGGGGAUCACCCGGGGUUCUCCCCGGCCCACUCCCCCCGUCCCAGGCCAGCAUCAUUUCGCGCCGGGGGACAAAGGCGGGGGGAACGUGGCUCCUCAGGGAGUGUUAUACCCCGCCGCGCCAUGCCCCGGGGGCGGAUUGAGGGCCGCCCAUCACUGCAAGGAUGCUGGCGUAAUGGUCACCAGCGACCCUCCUUGAACCACGGGCCAGGGAGUCUUCCUCGUAUGCAAGUGUCCGGGUGUCAAACCCCUACCCGAAAUGAAAUUGAACGUGGGUGAAAGUUUCGGCGCAUCAUCGACCGAUCCGGAUGUUCUCGAAUGAAUUUGAUUAGGACCAUACGGGGCCGAACCCGAAAGAAGGUGAACUAUGCCUGUGUAGGGGAACCCAGAGAAAACUCUGGUGGAGGCUCGCAGCGGUUCUGACAUGCAAUUCGAUCGUCAAACAUGGGCAUGGGGGCGAAAGAAUAAUCGAA
rnacentral:rRNA from 1 species